CCUACGGGAGGCAGCAGUGAGGAAUAUUGGUCAAUGCACGAGAGUCUGAACCAGCCAAGUCGCGUGAAGGACGACUGCCCUAUGGGUUGUAAGCUUCUUUUAUAUGGAAAUAAAUUGUUCCACGUGUGGGAUUUUGUAUGUACCAUACGAAUAAAGACCGGCUAACCCCGUUCCAGCCGCCGCGGUAAUACGGAGGAUCCGAGCGUUAUCCGGAUUGAUUGGGUUUAAAGGGAGCGUAGGUGGAUUGUUAAGUCAGUUGUGAAAGUUUGCGGCUCAACCGUAAAAUUGCAGUUGAAACUGGAAGUCUUGAGUACAAUAGAGGUGGGCAGAAUUCGUGGUGUAGCGGUGAAAUGCUUAGAUAUCACGAAGAACUCCGAUUGCGAAGGCAGCACACUGGACUGCAACUGACGCUGAGGUUCGAAAGUGUGGGUAGCAAACAGGAUUAGAUACCCGUGUAGUC
rnacentral:rRNA from 1 species